rnacentral:rRNA from 1 species
UAGGAAUAAGGACCGGCUAACUCCGUGCCAGCAGCCGGGGUAAUACGGAGGGUCCGAGCGUUAUCCGGAAUCAUUGGGUUUAAAGGGUCCGUAGGUGGGGUUCUAAGUCAGAGGUGAAAGGUUGCAGCUCAACUGUAGAAUUGCCUUUGAUACUGGAGCUCUUGAGUUAUGUUGCUGUGGCCGGAACAUGUGGUGUAGCGGUGAAAUGCAUAGAUAUCACAUAGACACCGAUUGCGAAGGCAGGUCACAAAGCAUACACUGACACUGAGGGACGAAAGCGUGGGGAGCGAACGGGAUUAGAUACCCCGGUAGUCCACGCCGUAAACGAUGGAUACUAGCUGUUGGGUUUUCGGACUCGGCGGCCAAGCGAAAGUGAUAAGUAUCCCACCUGGGGAGUACGUUCGCAAGAAUGAAACUCAAAGGAAUUGACGGGGGCCCGCACAAGCGGUGGAGCAUGUGGUUUAAUUCGAUGAUACGCGAGGAACCCUUACCAGAGCUUAAGUGGGAGAUGACCGGGUCAGAGACGACCCUUUCUUCGGACAUCUUUCAAGGUGCUGCAUGGUUGUCGUCAGCUCGUGCCGUGAGGUGUCAGGUUAAGUCCUAUAACGAGCGCAACCCUGCCGUUAGUUGCCAGCGAGUCAAGUCGGGGACUCUAACGGGACUGCCGGUGCAAACCGAGAGGAAGGUGGGGACGACGUCAAAUCAUCACGGCCCUUACGUCCUGGGCUACAUACGUGCUACAAUGGUCGGUACAAUGGGAAGCCACCCCGUGAGGGGGCGCGGAUCUUAAAAGCCGAUCACAGUUCGGAUCGGGGCUGCAACUCGACCCCG